rnacentral:rRNA from 1 species
UACGUAGGGUGCGAGCGUUAAUCGGAAUUACUGGGCGUAAAGCGUGCGCAGGCGGUGGCUCAAGUCAGAUGUGAAAUCCCUAGGCUUAACCUGGGAAUUGCAUUUGAAACUAGGUCGCUAGAGUUUGGCAGAGGGGGGUGGAAUUCCACGUGUAGCAGUGAAAUGCGUAGAGAUGUGGAGGAACACCGAUGGCGAAGGCAGCCCCCUGGGCUAAAACUGACGCUCAUGCACGAAAGCGUGGGGAGCAAACAGG